rnacentral:rRNA from 1 species
GAUGAACGCUGGCGGCGUGCCUAAUACAUGCAAGUCGAGCGAACGGACGAGAAGCUUGCUUCUCUGAUGUUAGCGGCGGACGGGUGAGUAACACGUGGAUAACCUACCUAUAAGACUGGGAUAACUUCGGGAAACCGGAGCUAAUACCGGAUAAUAUUUUGAACCGCGUGGUUCAAAAGUGAAAGACGGUCUUGCUGUCACUUAUAGAUGGAUCCGCGCUGCAUUAGCUAGUUGGUAAGGUAACGGCUUACCAAGGCAACGAUGCAUAGCCGACCUGAGAGGGUGAUCGGCCACACUGGAACUGAGACACGGUCCAGACGCCUACGGGAGGCAGCAGUAGGGAAUCUUCCGCAAUGGGCGAAAGCCUGACGGAGCAACGCCGCGUGAGUGAUGAAGGUCUUCGGAUCGUAAAACUCUGUUAUUAGGGAAGAACAUAUGUGUAAGUAACUGUGCACAUCUUGACGGUACCUAAUCAGAAAGCCACGGCUAACUACGU